rnacentral:rRNA from 1 species
GAUGAACGCUAGCUACGGGCUUAACACAUGCAAGUCGAGGGGUAACGAGAGGGAAGCUUGCUUUCCUUGUCGACGACCGGCGCACGGGUGAGUAACGCGUAUCCAACCUGCCCCCAACUAGGGAAUAACCUUGCGAAAGUAAGACUAAUACCCUAUAAUUUCCUCAGAUGUCAUCUGACGAGGAAUAAAGAUAUAUCGGUUGUGGAUGGGGAUGCGUCUGAUUAGCUUGUUGGCGGGGUAACGGCCCACCAAGGCAACGAUCAGUAGGGGUUCUGAGAGGAAGGUCCCCCACAUUGGAACUGAGACACGGUCCAAACUCCUACGGGAGGCAGCAGUGAGGAAUAUUGGUCAAUGGGCGGAAGCCUGAACCAGCCAAGUAGCGUGCAGGAUGACGGCCCUAUGGGUUGUAAACUGCUUUUAUACAGGAAUAAAGUUAGCCACGUGUGGUUAUUUGUAGGUACUGUAUGAAUAAGGACCGGCUAAUUCCGUGCCAGCCGCCGCGGUAA